GGAAGGGGUUUUUGGAGGGUUUGGAGUGUAGGGAGGUUGAGAAAUAGGAGAGGGAGUGUUUGGAGGGGUUGGGACAUAAGGUUGGUUGCCAGGGGAAGGUGUUUUUGGAGGAGUGGGAACAUUUGGAGGACUAUAAGAAGGAGACGGUGUUUUUGGAGGCGUUGGAAUAUAGGGUGGUUGGUUACGAGGAGAAGGAGCAUUUGGAGGACUAUAAGCUGGAGAAGGUGUUUUUGGAGGAGUGGGAACAUUUGGAGGACUAUAAGAAGGAGAAGGUGUUUUUGGAGGUGUAGGAACAUAGGGUGGAUGGUUACCCGGGGAAGGAGCUAUUGGGGGGGCGUAAAUAGGAGAAGGUGUUUUGGGAGGUGUUGGAACAUUAGGAGGAGUAUAAACAGGGGAAGGAGUUUGUGGAGGAGUUGGAAUAAAUGGAGGAUGAUUAGUAGGUGAAGGUGCUUUAGGAGGAACAUAGGGAGGACUGUGAAUAGGAGAAGGUGUUUUUGGAGGGGUUGGAACAUAAGGUGGAUAAGGAAUUUUUGGAGGAGUUUGAGGAGGUGUUGGAACAUAAG
rnacentral:lncRNA from 1 species